UCCAUUCAUACACAAAUAUCCAUAAAAAUUAUGCAAAACAAUGAACCAAUCAAUUCCAAAACAUUCCAUUCAAUUCUUCAAUUCUAUACCAUUCCAAAAGAUAAAAGAAAAGGAAUGAAUUCUAAACCAUUCUAUACAAUUCCAAAACAUACCAUCAAUUCCAUACCAUUCCAAUUUUCAUACAAUUCAUGUCAUUUAAAACAAAACUAAACGAAAAGAUAAAUAAAGAGGAACCUAUUUGUUAGUGUCGGUCAUGCUCUUAGUCGCGCUAUUCGUCCCACUUUUAGUCGCUUUUUUGCCAACAUUUUCGACAUUUGAAUCUCUUGUAGUAGGCGUGAUUAUGUUGUCGUGUCCUUGGCUCGACUGACCCUAAUGUAAAAAAAAAUUGAAAUUACAAAGAAAAUAUGAAUAUUGAUUUAUAUAUAAAUGCUAAUUACCUCAAUCGUCUCUCGACGUAAGUCUUCCCUUAGUUCCUUUAGUAUAUCUAUAUUUAUUCCACUGUAAUAGACUAACAGUACUCUAAGAUUAAGUGAUAACAUGUUUGAAUAUCUAUAUUUCAAACAUACUUCUUCUUAUCCUUAUCUCACCUUUUGCAGAUUUGAUUUGAUUAAGAAGAUAUUCUCUUUCUUGCGGAUCAAAAUUAUGGAGAGAGAUCCCAAUGUAUAGAAACUAUACAGAAACUAUACUGGGUUGCUCAAUAGAGGUGAGCUGAUCGUAAUUGGGUUGCUCAAUCUUAACAGCCAGGAUAUCCCAAACCGACUAUAUCGGCUUCCCCAUAUUUUCCUUCUAAAAAGAAUAAUGUUCUGCUUUUCAUAUGUUCUUGUACAAUCUUCUUAUCAUUAUGUGUAGGUGCAUUCUUUGCGAUCACUAUCCAAAUUUUUUUUGUUUAAACAUAAUAUUUUUCUAACAAGAGUUUAUUUUCUUCUAAAAAAGAUGGAUUCCUAGGACAUUUGAUGUACUAAUAUAAUUCUGAAAUAUUUUUUUAAACUGCCAACUAGCUUAAAUCCACCACAAUUAGACAAAUCAAUGGUGGAAAGAAAACAAUCUUGGUUCAUAAGGGUAAAGAUUUAUAGUAUUUAUCAUCGGCAUAUAUGAUUUGAAUUUUCAUAGCAACAUUUAACUAAAAAAUCUGGCUUGCAAACUGACCUUUAAAGUGAAAUCAUUGUUGGUUUUAGAUAUUUGAAUUUAUUUAAUCUAUUUCAUAACAAAAUUGUUACAAAUACUCUGGUAUGAUGACAUUUCUAUUUGGAAGGAAUGUUCAUAUAAUUCUCUAUUUGGUAACUUGAUAUUUUUCUCAUGUAUAAUAAAUAUAUAGUUCAUAUUGUUUUUUUACAAGCGGUAAUUUUUUCAUUAAAAAUAAAGGGAGGUAACCUGAAUUACAAUUAAUGAAGAGAAAAAUAUAAAUAGGGGAGAUGGGGUGAAACCCAUCAACACUCUGCUAUGUAGCUAUAACAUUUAUAGAUCUCAGGUCUAAAAGAUAGGCUGGUGUCCUUGAUUAUUUGUUUCAGCAGUAUUUCUGAUGGCUUCAGGCUGUGUUGCCUUAGGUUUUCUGUUCCUUUUGGAUCAGAUGUACGUACCAAGCAGGCAAGUAAGACUCCUUAAGAUAAUCUAAUGUAGGCUCUUUGGAGGGGAAUAUCUCAUUAUUAAUUUGGUUUAAACUUUAAAGCAUAAUAUUAUCUUUUAUUUUGGCUUCUAUUUAGAAUUCUGGAUAAAGAGAAUAUUGCUUACAUGAAAAUGGAUAUUUCUAUAACAAAGUCAUCCAUUGAUCUCUCUCCAUAAAUUUCAAAUCAUUGACAUUAGAAUAUGAGCAGAGACCCCAAUAUGCAGGAAACUAUACAGAAACUAUACUGCAAUGUUUCUUGGGGAGCAGAGACCCCAAUAUCUCACCUCUUGCAGAAACUAUAUUAUCCUGAUUGAAAUCGUUGAUUUAAAUUGAUUCAAAAAUUGAUUUAAAUUGAUUCCUGAAACAAGAGGAGACUGCAAUUGGUACCUGAAACAAUCAAGAAGGAACAACUACGAAACCCUAGAAUAGUAGUUUAUCGAGUCUGGCGAUUUGCUGCUGCUCUCCCUUCUCUUCUACAGUCGAUGUUGAGAAUUCUACAGUCGAUUUGCUGCUGCUCUCCCUUCUCUCCGCGUGACUUCUACAGUCUGUUGAGAAUUUUGUAGUGUCCGAUCCGAACUCGGGGGAAUGAGAGGAACUCCUUUGCCGUUGGGAGGGAAUGGGGGGGGGGGG
rnacentral:lncRNA from 1 species